GUAAGAGCUGGCUACGGUGGGGAAGGAUCUCUUUUGGAGAUCACUCUUCUUGGAGUCUUCUCAGUAAGCCUAGGACAGGGGGCACUGUUUCUCAGGAACCUGAAGCACGUUUGCUGAUAUGUGGGCAUUGACAACAGCCAAGGUGCUUGAGGCACUUAAAGGAUGCUUCUCCCUUUCCCAGGCAGAUGCCACUUUCAACUCACCAAAUUGUACCCCUUAAAAGCAGAAGCACAACUACAAAGGUUAUAGCAUUGUAGUCAUGCUGGCUUGAUGAUAAAGGGAGGAGGCACUGCCUAGAAAAUACCAGCAAAUGGCAAGAAAGAAUGGGACUUUCUUCUAAAGUUUAGCAAGGAAUUGGGAGCGGAUGACUUGGAUGUGUACCAGCCCUCAAGAGAGUCAGCAUGGGGAGGUAGGUGGGUAAAGGGGACUUUUCAAACCCCGGGUCUAUCAUUACCUGUUGGUAAUGGAACCUUCAAAUCCACCAACACCUCAUGGGAAAGUGAUACAGCAGCAUGGAGUUGUUCCAUUCUUAGGGUGUAUGAGGAUAACAUCUCAUUUCCAAUGAUUUGGGAAGAGCUACUGGAGAAGCUGCUACUCUGGCUUUGAUUUGGGCUAAUAAACAAGAACUGCUUGGGGGGGGGAAAAAAAAAGUAGGCCGUAAUUUCAGGAAAUAAAUCACAAAAUAAUGGAGUGCACAGUGCCAAGAGAAGGGGAGCGAGAACAGCAGAAUGAGGAUAAUGGUCUGCAAAAAAUCUCUGGGAACUGGUAGGUGACAUCUCUAGGGAAGAUAAUCUGAGGGAUGAAGAGAGCAGGGAAGCUGGCAAUUACCUAAAACGACUGCAUUAGAAGCACCUAAACAAGCCAUCUCGAUGCAGAGGGACAAGAGGAAGGUGGCUGAGAGACCUGGUGGAUAUGAGGCCCUAAAGGAGUUGCAGAGAAAGGGAAAUGAAAACAGGGACCCAGCAAUGAGGAGAGCAGAUGCACAGAUACAAGCAGAACACACUCCAAUAAGCCAUCAGUUUAAUGGCUGUGGAAAACUACUUUCUAAGUGCAUGGGAAGGAGAACGAGAGCUAAGGAGAGCCCAAGCUCUUUGCUUCUUGAAUGGAGGAGAGCCAAGAGUCGCAGUGCAGGAACCCUGUGUGGGCUGAGCUUCAGCCCUCCCUCCCAUCCAGCUCAUUAGGACAGGCUUCAAACCAGCCUGGAGGAGAACAUCCUCCAGGGCAUUUAGAGUCAAGUGUGCUCAUGGCAGCAGGGCAUGCCCCGAGCUGCCUUCACAGAGCUAAUCCAACCUCUGGGGCGUGCAGGGUUUCUCCAAGUCCUGCAGGAGUGGUCUGGGAGCAUCAUGGUGGGGCUGCACAAGAAAUCACCUGCUGGAACUCAAAAAUGGCCAUUAAUGUGACUGAAGGAAGGGCUGGGGACCUUGUGCUGAGCUUCAGGAGGAGGUGGGUGAAUCAGAUGCUCUGCCUCAUUCCCUGCAGUUGUGCCAGCAUCGCUGCAAGCCGAUGAGCUCACUCAUGUGUCUGUCCCAGCCAGUCACUGCCACACAGUGCAGCCCACAGGGACCAUCCCUGCCCAGCAGCCACUGGCUCGUCCCAGUCACUGUCAUCUCCGCUGCAGGUGCUCCUCAUCUUCAUCCCUGCCAUGGGCUGCCCUCCAUCCCCGUCUCUUGGGUUCAGAAACCUGAAGAAAACCUCAGGGUUUGCUCAGGGCUUGUUUUCCGUCUCUUCUGCCCUUUUCCUCAUACUACAGCACAGCAUCCCCGCUGCCCAUCACCUCUGCACUGUGUCCCCAGGGACCACAGUUCUGCCGUGCUCUUUGCAUGUCUGUGUUUGUCUUAGUGGUUGACCCCUUCAGUUGAUAUUAGCCUCCCGGUCACCUCCACCACUGCCUGUCACAGCCAAUUAGAAAUAUAGUCAUCUCUGCAUCAUGGUCCUCGUUAAACCAACCAUCCCUUCUACCUGCUGCAGUCGUCACCUCAUUAUAACUCCAUUACCUUUAACAACAACUCCAUUACCAUCCAUUAUCUUUCUUAUCAUCUCCUUUACAAGGCUGUUAUCUGCGCCUCCUCCUCUCCAGCUAUCCCCUCCUCAAUUACGA